GGAGUCGGCCUGACAAUCGCUGCUUUGCAUUAGCAAAGGGGAGGAAAGUCCGGGCUCCACAGGGCAGGGUGCCAGGUAACGCCUGGGGGGCGUAAGCCCACGACAAGUGCAACAGAGAGCAAACCGCCGAUGGCUCGCAAGAGUACAGGUAAGGGUGAAAGGGUGCGGUAAGAGCGCACCGCGUGGCUGGUAACAGUCAUGGCACGGUAAACUCCACCCGGAGCAAGGCCAAAUAGGCCCCUACGGACGCUGCCCGCGUUUGGGGGCGGGUAGGCUGCUUGAGCCAGUGAGCAAUUGCUGGCCUAGACGAAUGAUUGUCCACGACAGAACCCGGCUUAUGGCCGACUCCACCU
rnacentral:RNase_P_RNA from 1 species